AUUGAACGCUGGCGGCAUGCCUUACACAUGCAAGUCGAACGGUAACGCGGGGGCAACCCUGGCGACGAGUGGCGAACGGGUGAGUAAUACAUCGGAACGUACCCAGUAGUGGGGGAUAGCUCGGCGAAAGCCGGAUUAAUACCGCAUACGACCUAUGGGUGAAAGCGGGGGAUCGCAAGACCUCGCGCUAUUGGAGCGGCCGAUGUCGGAUUAGCUAGUUGGUGAGGUAAAGGCNCACCAAGGCUACGAUCCGUAGCUGGUCUGAGAGGACGACCAGCCACACUGGGACUGAGACACGGCCCAGACUCCUACGGGAGGCAGCAGUGGGGAAUUUUGGACAAUGGGCGCAAGCCUGAUCCAGCCAUGCCGCGUGUGUGAAGAAGGCCUCGGUUGUAAG
rnacentral:rRNA from 1 species